AUGAUACUGAUACCUACUAUUACCACCAAUAAUAAUAAUAAUAAUAAUAAUAAUAAUAAUAAUAAUAAUAAUAAUAAUAAUAAUAUCAGUACUAAAAAUUCGGACAGUGUUAGACAGAGACUGGAAACGGAAACUGAAAGCCAGUCUCUGACUAACACUGUCCGAAUUUGUAGUCCUGAUAUCAGCAUGGAGUUUGGCUUGGACAAAUGUUCAACAGUGGCAUUGAAGAAGGGAAAAAUCAUUGAAAGUGAGGGCAUAAAUAUGCCUAAUGGCCAAACAAUAAAGUGUCACCAGCCAGAGGCCUAUAAAUAUCUGGGAAUAUUACAGCUGGACAACAUCAAGCAUGAACAUGUGAAGACUGUGGUCAGUAAAGAAUACACACAAAGGGUCAGAAAAAUUCUCAAAAGCAAGCUCAAUGCAGGCAACACCAUCAAGGCCAUAAACACCUGGGCCAUACCUGUCAUAAGAUAUACUUCUGGCAUCAUAAACUGGACACAGGCGGAACUGGACAAUUUGGACAGAAAAACAAGAAAACUCAUGACCAUUCAUCAUUCACUACACCCUCGCAGUGAUGUUGACCGGCUCUAUCUGCCUAGAAGAUCAGGGGGCAGAGGACUCUUGCAAGUAAAACAAGCAGUCAAAGAAGAAGAACAUGCCCUGGCAGAAUAUGUAAAGCAAAGUGAAGAACCUGCCUUGAUUGAAGUCAAAAAUCAGAAACUCCUCAAAGCACAGCAGACAAAAAACCAGUACAAGAAAGCCACACUACAAACUAGAGCUGACAGCUGGCACAACAAAACACUGCAUGGAAAGUUCCUUGACAAAAUUGAAGGAAGAGCUGAUAAGGAGAAGACCUGGCUCUGGCUCACAAAUGGGACCCUGAAGAAGGAGACAGAAGGCCUGAUCCUUGCAGCCCAGGAGCAAGCCAUCAGAACAAAGGCAAUUAAGGCCAAGAUCGAAAAAUCAGCUGAUGACCCAAAAUGCAGACUAUGCAAGGAAACCGACGAAACCAUUGAUCAUAUCCUCAGCUGCUGUAAGAAAAUUGCACAGACAGACUACAAACAGAGGCACAACUGUGUGGCCCAAAUGAUCCAUUGGAACUUAUGCCUCAAGUACCACCUGCCAGCAGCAAAGAACUGGUGGGAUCACACACCAGCAAAGGUCGUGGAAAAUGAGCACGCAAAGAUACUGUGGGACUUCAGAAUCCAGACUGACAAAGUUCUGGAACACAACACACCAGACAUCACAGUUGUGGAAAAGAACAAGGUUUGGAUAAUUGAUGUUGCCAUCCCAGGUGACAGUCGCAUUGAUGAAAAACAACAGGAAAAACUCAGCCGCUAUCAGGACCUCAAGAUUGAACUUCAAAGACUCUGGCAGAAACCAGUGCAGGUGGUCCCGGUGGUGAUGGGCACACUGGGUGCCGUGCCAAAAGAUCUCAGCCGGCAUUUGGAAACAAUAGACAUUGACAAAAUUACGAUCUGCCAACUGCAAAAGGCCACCCUGCUGGGAUCUGCACGCAUCAUCCGAAAAUACAUCACACAGUCCUAG
rnacentral:lncRNA from 1 species